CCCUGGCCAGGGCGAGAACAUCCAGAGAAGCAGCCUCACGCAUGCUGGAGUCGGAACAUCCCUGACAUUGGAAGGCUCAGACCGCAUCCCAUGCUGUGAACCACAAACUCCGGUGCCAUCUUCAUUUUCCACAGAUCGGAAGGACUCAUUGGUCCCCCAUUCCUAGCACCUGCUCACUUCUCUGUUUCUUCUUUCUCCUGUUCGGGCUUUGGCGUUUGGUGAUCAUAGGAGGGAAAGAAAUGACCCCUCUCACUAAAAGUGAAACAGAGAAACCCAAGAUUAAUAGAAAGAGAAGUGUGAUGCCGUGUGCAGAAUGCACUGAAGAGGAGAGAUCCUUGUGGACACAGGACCAGCUGGACUUUGAGGCUGUCUCCAGAGAAGAUCUCUAAGUUUCAUGUAAUAUGCACAGGCUCAUGACAGUGGCCUCGCGAGUCCUCAUCUUCUGGAAGAGCACAUCAGAUCCUGUAGGACAAGGCUAGAAACAAUGGUAGAUGAAGACCCCAGCAAAGGAGAGGACUCUCCCUCUCUCUCUACUCAUCCACCUACCCAUCCAUCCAUCCAUCCACCCAUCCUUCCUUUCUUCCUUCUGUC